CUUCAACUCAAAAUGUCACACGUGCACCCUGUGCUUUUCGUUUCCGAGUCGCAACUGGUUUUUGGUGGACGUCAAUCAAACACUUUCGACGGGCUCACGGGCUAGCAAAUAUGGCGGACGGAUGUUUCUCUAACUCAUUUUACAACUAGAUCUAAGGAAAAAUGGUUAAAUCAUUUGAUAAUGCCCUUAGGUGGAGAGUAAUUUUCCUCAGGGAGAAAGGUUUCACCUUCGAUGAAAUUGCAGAGACACUGAGCGCCAGCAAGCGGUUUGUUUAUAAGAUCACUCGUUUGUAUAGAAAUACUCGUGGUGUAAGCGAUGCAAGAAAACGGAAGUCGAAGGCUCGCCUCAUAAAUGCUAACGAUUUACUGCUAAUCAGGCGCCUUAUUAAUGAGUACCCGGGACUUUACCUAGAUGAAAUACAAACUUGGCUUGAGCAUUUUACAGGCUGAACAUUCUCUGUUCCUUCCCUUGAUAGAUGUUUGAAGAGGAUGGGGUUGUCGGUGCAAAAGAUGCACAUCGUUGCUCGCCAAAGAAACGAGUUCGAACGUGCCACCUACCGAAGAUUUAUUUCGCAAUUCAAACCAAAUCAGCUACUCUUCAUUGACGAGUCAUCGAAGGAUGAAAGAACAAUCCAGAGGAAGUUUGGUCGUGAACUGCGUGGAAAGCGCUAUCUCAUGUGGGAAAUUUCACACGUGGUACACGUUUCAGUGUUCUUGCUGCUGUGUCUAUGGAUGGCAUAAAGGGUGCACAUGCUAUUGAAGGAGCGUAUGACACUGCAGGCUUUGAAUUUGCAAUGGAAACAUUUGUGGCUCCAUCAAUUGGUUCAUUGUUCUGUGGUAGUAAUGGACAACUGUGCCAUACAUAAAUCUGAUCACCUUCUUAAAAUUAUCCGUGAGAGAGGGGGUAUAGCAGUCUUUUUGCCUUAAGUAUGGCAUUUCAUCCUCUGGUGCAGGGGUAUUUUCCUCUAAAAUUUCACUUACGAGAAAAAUAGGAAAAGUUAUCCAUUGAUGAAUGUUAUAUUCUAUUUUAAAAGGAAUAAGUAUUGAUUAGAUAAGCAUCACAGAUAACUCUUAUGGGACCUGGCUCUUGGCAUUGUCAAAAGCCCCAUGAUUUGUUGAACAACCAUACUCAGCUUUCGAAUUUUGACCAAGUUUGUUCCAGGUGCCUUUUUGCAAGUGAAAUGUAAAAGGAAAAUACAGUACCUCUGGAUCUUCAAUGAUGAUAUUGCAUUUAUGUAACUGUUUAAUAUCAUAAGGUUAAUAACAAUUUAGCUCUACAACCGAAAUUCUUUUUUUUCUCUCUGAGCAAUGCUAUAUUUCCACACAUUAAUAAUUAAUAACACAUUCAAAGCUGGAAAUUACUGCCGUCAUCAGACACCUAUGAUCAAAAUUGCCAAAUGCCCACCUGCCAAUCAGAUAUUGUCCAGCAAAUUGUGUGACAUGCUCAAACUUCCAUGUAUGUUCUUGGCCAGUAUAUAACAAAAUAUUUCAUACAAAACUUUGGAAGCAGGUAGUUUUUUUUUUUCUUUGAAGGGGGGGGGGGGGGGGUAUAAAACCUGGAGCUUCUUCAGACCCUCCUACCAAUCAUCUUUCUACUAUCUUUUUCUUCCAGACCAUAUUCACCAGAUUUGAACCCAAUAGAAGGAUGCUUUGGUACUGCAAAGAAAUGGAUGCUCAGGCACAGGCAUAUGGCAGAAAGAUACCCCAAAAGAUGUUUUGAAAUGGCACUGUUUAAUCUUUCCUCCGAAGUUUGCAGAAACUAUGUCCUUGACUGUGGAUACGUUUAGCGUGCAUAGAACUCAACAAGAAAUGUAAACUACCCUUUUAUAAUAUGUAUAAUAGGUUAAAAUGUAAGCAGUAUUGGCAGAUCCAAACAUUAACAUUUACAGUACUUGUAGAUGACCUCGAAUGUAAAGUAAAUCACACAAGCAUGUACAGUGAGACGUGAGUUGCAUUACAUUCUAAUGACAUGCACUAAACAGAGAUUGCAGACGACCUGUUAAACCCACAAGCUUUCAAUCUGUAGAUCUCUGGUACCAGAGAGAUACAGUCCUCUUCUGAUAUCCCAGUUGACAUGAGUAGUUGCCUUCCAAAUUGUGGAUGGAUAAAUGCUUCUAGCAUUGGGCCAUAAACGGAACUGUCAGAAAAUGUCUUGACAUACUUUGGUAACUGAAUGGACUCAAUCCAAGAGCGACAGUCCGCUUCAGUCAUCUGGGCCAGUGCUGUGAAAAUAUUGACAUCACAGUUAAUUAAUGUAAUACUAGUGCUCAUGUGAAAGGAACCUGUUCAUGUGACUGUGUCAUUCAUGCAACAACCUAUACCCCCCCCCCCCCCCCCACACACACACACACACACAAUUGUGGAAUUGCCCCCAAAACAUUUGGAAUUUCCAGAAAUAAAAAAGUAAAGAAAAUGA